UAAUAUAAUAUUUAGUUGAAUUUGAAGUUAAAGUGGCGAUGGUUCCUGAUUGCUGGUUAUUACAUGAAUCAGCUACAUGUUUUUGGCCUCAGGGAUUUGGUGCUAAACAAUGGUCAAAAAUGAAAAAGUUAUUAAAUCCUAAUCACAAAGAUUGGCCUCCUUAUUCUUAUAUAAGAAUAUUGAAAGUUGGAGGUAUAUAACUUCUCCAUGGUUUUGGAAAGUUUUGAUUAUGUGAUUGUUUCUGCAAGUUAUAAUUUUUCAGACUAUGAAAAAAUGAAAAAGGCAGAGGCUAAAUCUUUGCACUACACAAAUUUUUCUUCAAGUUGUUCGGAAAUAAAACAUGAUUUAAAGAGGAAAAAUUUGCAAACACAAUGGAGUCUUGGCAUUUCAAUUGAGAAAAAGGUAAAAAAAUGAAAAUUCGAAAAUCAAGAAAAAGAAAAAAUCAUGCAGACAGUCAACUUCAACCAAUUUCACAGAUCGAACUGAUAAACCUUCACCAACUAGUUCUGGCACAAACAUCACAUCUUCAAUUUUUCCUGAUUUAGUAAAACAAGCUGUGGCUGAUGUUGUUCAACCAUAUUUUCAUAAUGUUAUUAAACAGUUGGAGGAAAAGCGCCAAAAGCGCCAAAAGCAAGUUUCUAUUAAUCAUAAUACAAGUGGAAAUUUUCCAGAAAACUUUAUAUUUCCAUUAAAAGAAAUUGAUUAACUCUUACAGUUAAAUAGCAUUUUUCUGGAAAAUACUUAAUGUCGAUCAAAUGCAGUAAGUCUAAUAUUAUUAUUAUAUAAUAUAAAGAAUAUAAAAGUUUACCUUUAUUUUUUAAAUUAAAUUAGUAUAUUUUUUUCUAUUUCGAAUUGACUUCAUGUAUAAUAACAUUUAUACUUUAGUAUAAACUCAUUUUUGUAUGCAAUCGCAAAUGGAAAAUGUUUAUUUCUUUAUAGGUUAUUUUUUUGUCUCUAAUUAAAGGAAAUGGUCUUGAUGACUGUUUGAGAAAAGUUGCUAAGAAAAUCUUGACAGCAAAACUCUCAAUGCUCUAUAACUUUACAGGAAGAAAAGGGUAAAUUAGAGUUUGGUUGUCUAGUUGGGGUGAAAAAUGUGUUAUA